UACGGAGGGUGCAAGCGUUAUCCGGAUUUACUGGGUUUAAAGGGUGCGUAGGCGGAAUGAUAAGUCAGUGGUGAAAUCUCUCGGCUUAACCGAGAAACUGCCAUUGAUACUGUCAAUCUUGAGUACAUUUGAUGUGGGCGGAAUGUGUCAUGUAGCGGUGAAAUGCUUAGAUAUGACACAGAACACCGAUUGCGAAGGCAGCUCACAAAACUGUAAACUGACGC
rnacentral:rRNA from 1 species